rnacentral:rRNA from 1 species
CCUACGGGAGGCAGCAGUGGGGAAUAUUGGACAAUGGGGGGAACCCUGAUCCAGCCAUGCCGCGUGUGUGAAGAAGGCCCUCGGGUUUUAAAGCACUUUCAGUGAGGAAGAACGCCUGGUGGUUAAUACCCAUCAGGAAAGACAUCACUCACAGAAGAAGCACCGGCUAACUCCGUGCCAGCAGCCGCGGUAAUACGGAGGGUGCGAGCGUUAAUCGGAAUUACUGGGCGUAAAGCGCGCGUAGGUGGCUUGAUAAGCCGGUUGUGAAAGCCCCGGGCUCAACCUGGGAACGGCAUCCGGAACUGUCAAGCUAGAGUGCAGGAGAGGAAGGUAGAAUUCCCGGUGUAGCGGUGAAAUGCGUAGAGAUCGGGAGGAAUACCAGUGGCGAAGGCGGCCUUCUGGACUGACACUGACACUGAGGUGCGAAAGCGUGGGUAGCAAACAGGAUUAGAUACCCCUGUAGUC